UACAGAGGUCUCAAGCGUUGUUCGGAUUCAUUGGGCGUAAAGGGCGCGUAGGCGGCGGGGUAAGUCGGGUGUGAAAUCUCAGGGCUCAACCCUGAAACUGCACUCGAUACUGCUCUGCUUGAGGACUGGAGAGGAGACUGGAAUUCACGGUGUAGCAGUGAAAUGCGUAGAUAUCGUGAGGAAGACCAGUGGCGAAGGCGGGUCUCUGGACAGUUCCUGACGCUGAGGAGCGAAAGCGUGGGGAGCGAACAGG
rnacentral:rRNA from 1 species